rnacentral:lncRNA from 1 species
UCAAUUCUUGCAGCCACGAAACCCUAGCCCCCCCUCUCAAUCCCCUCCUCCCAAGGUGUCAAUCCUUGCCGCUCGGAUCAUCGUCGCCGUGGUGCGAGUCUUCAAUCGUUUUGGUGGAGGGAAGAAGGGAGGAAAGAAAGGGGGAGAAUCUAAGGUGAUUUUUGUGUUCAUCCCUUGUUCAUUUGCGCUGCAAUUUAAUUGAUUAGAGGUUGCGUUUGUGAUUGGGUAGAGGGGGGCUGUCCAGAAUUUUAGGUGGUGGGUGAACAGCAGUAGUCUAGCAGUUUCUGUGUUUUUUCAUGAGGAAUUAAGGGAAAUCAGUUUGGGGAUCAUGUAGAACUUUACCUUACCUUUCCAACGAGUAUUUAUGCCCUCAAUUUGGAGUUAUAAAUUGAAAGUUAUCACCGUUUGAAUCCGGGUAUGUGGCUGUCCAAAAAAACAGAUUUUUUAGGGGAUGAACAGAAGCAGUAUUAGCAGUUUCUGGGGAUUUUUCGGGAGUAAUUAGUGUUAAUCAGUAUGAGAAUCAUGUAGGGCUUUAUGUUAUCUUUCCAACAAGUACUUACGCGCUCGAUUCGGAGUUAUAAUUCAGGAGAUAUCGUUGUUUGAAUCCGGUUAUGUUGCUGUAAAAAAAAACAGAUUUUUCAGGUGGGUGAACAGCAGUGGUAUUAGCAGUUUCUGGGAAUUUUUCAUGGGUAAUUAGUGUUAACCAGUAUGGUAAUCAUGUAGGGAUUUGUCUUAUCUUUCCAAUGAGUACUUAUGCGCUUGAUUUGGAAUUAUAUUUUAAAAGAUAUCGCUGUUUGAAUCUGGGUAUGUCGCUGUCCAAAAGACAAAGAAAAACAGAUUACAGGGUUCAUCUUGUGGACUGUUUUGGGCUAAUUAGAUAUUGGAAUUUAAUUAUAAAUUGUAUACAAAACUUGUGACGAAUUUUAUGUAGAUGCCUCUGGAGUUUUUGUUUGUUACCACUGCUGUCAUAAUUUUAAAGUUAUGAAAUUAUUAAGCAGCGCCGCUGCAGUUUGGUGGGUGUAGGGAGAGAUGUAACCCGCGGCGGGGUUUGAGUUUGUGCGUAGGUGCGGCGUCGCUUAUGAGCCUGAUUAUGUGAAAUUGGUGUACUAAGUUGGGUGUCAAAAACAGGUGGUGGACUUCCGGAUCGUACUUAGGGAUUUGCCCGAACUUCCGGUAAAGGCAAGUAAAUACAGUGGUGGUUGCUACCGUUUGGUUUGCAUCCUAUUCCCUGUCAUUGAGUAUGCAUAAGUUUUAAUUAUGUUAAUCAUUGAAUUCUAUGAUGAAGUUUAUUUGUUUGGAAGUAUUAAUUCUCAAUUGUCUAAUAUUGUGGAUGAUCAUAAUUUGGUAAUGAUAUAUGUGGUUGAUUCCCAUCGGGAUGAAGUUGAAGUGUCUUUUUGAAUCAUGUUAUAUGAAGUGUUGUAGGCAUGACAUGCACAUCGCAUCAUCCAUCUUGCAUUUUGAAGUUAUGUCGUGAUCUUAUGGUCCGACCAUACCGGUACAUUUUUAGCAUCGUACGUUGCCCGAGGAGGGGUACGAUGCGGCUUCAUAUCCUUAGAGGUAUGAAGGCAGAAGUCAUCCUUGCAUUUGCAGACAUUUGCACUCAUGAGGAAUAUAUGAAGUGUGACAUUACUAUGUUACUAUUGUGGUUUCUACCUGCGAGGUGUGGUAACUAGGUGCGUUGUACGUUGUAUACGUGCUGCACCUUCGUAAUAAGAAGGUUGUGGAAUUAAGUGGUGGUAAAACAAUGUUCUUAUGUGGUUAAAUUGUUUGAUAUUAUUUUACUUGCUGAGAUGUGUCAUCUCACUCUUGCAUUACUCAAUGCAGGUACUUGAUACAUGUUGGGAAUGAGGGGAGUAGCAGCAUGUCCACUUUCACUCUCACAAUAACGCUGCCCAGGCACAACCAUGAUUUAAUUAGAAACCUAUUGUCAAAGGAAGUUUGUUUAUUUUUUUAUAUGGUCGUGCGCACUGGUUAAUUCAGUUCAGGUCGUAUGUUUAUCUUUCCUUGCUAGGCGAGUAAUAAUACUUAGUAUGUUUUAGUCAUGAUAUAUGUUUAUACUCUGUUGCUCCCUCUUUUAUGCAAUCUUGCAAAGGGGAUGCUGCCGAAAUUUUAUAUAUGGACGUCGAAAGUGUAGUACAACCAGGUUGUUUAUGGAACUUGGAGUGUUACAGUUGGUAUCAGAGGAUAGGCUUUAGAUUCUACGCAAUUUGAAGAUAAAUUUGACACACUUGCACAUAUAGGAAGGGUAUGGGUUCAUAUAUCUUUCAUAUUAGUAUUUUUAUUGUAUAGAUGACUAGAAUUUCCUUACUCCAAACCCCUUUAUGGUUUGAUGAGGUAUGUCGUUAACGACGUAAUGCUUGAUAUGAAAUGUUACUUCUAUUUAAUAUUGGUUUCUUGAUGUGGUUGUUAUUGAAAUUAUUAUGCGAGUGAAGCUACUAAUGUACUUGUUUUAUAUACAUAUCGUCAUGAUGUUUUUUGGGAUGCAAUGUUUACUAAUCUCUGAGCUAUUACCAUCAUAUAUUUCUAUAUGCUUGACUGUGGAUGUUUUUUUCCCAAAAGGAUUCUUGGGUUCUAGUACUUGUAGGACCGAUUGUUUAUUGAGCUUGUGUAUAGAGGAUCUAAUCCGACUUGGUGUAGUGUGAAAACACUAUACAAUGAAGUUUUAUGGUGUUGUUGAGUUGGAUUGACUGUUGGGUUACAACCCAACUUAUCAAUGUAAUAUUUCCAUGGGUGCAGUGCUUUACACCUCACCUCUUUUUUUUGGCUAGUGUGGCUACUUGCCAACUUGAUCUUAGAGUACAAUAGGUUUGUCUCCGUAGAGCAAAGGCAAUGUUGUACUGUCUAUGAUAUCUUGAGACUAGAAGAACUCAAGUGAAUUUGCAAGAUGACGUGGGUAGAUAAGUCCAACCAUGUUUACAUGAUAGGUUUUCUUAUUGUGUGCAACCUUAUCUUUAAUAAUAAAUAGGGUGAUUUCAAGUGGAUUUUUAUGUCUAUAUUAUAGUUGAAGAGGCAUGCAUGUUUUCCUUCUAUGGUUUGUUUCUAUAGCCAAAAAGGUUAUGCAUAAUUUCUAUUUGUUGGAGGCUAGUCAUGCGGACGAUAUGGACAACCCGUUUUAUAUUGUUUUUAAUCGCCGAUGAUACAUGGUAGUUUUUUUUAUAUGAUCAGUUCUCUAUGCAUGCUUGUGGAAUUAUUAUUUGGACCGCUUUAUCUUAAACAAAGUCAAUGUUUAACUGGAAGUUGCUUAUGUUUGUUAGUCAUCUAUCUCUAUAAUGAUGUGGUUGUUGCAUUAGAUGGAGAUUUUUAUUAUAUGAAUGAUGGUUUGAUAGAUCAUGUAUGUCUACUACUUUGAAUUCAUCCUAUGACAUCACUAGGUACAAAUUGUUCAAGUGCAAUAAUAGGAGGUAUUGUUGUAAGUGAGGUUAAUCAAAGUAGUUGGGUUAGGUGGAUUAUCUUAUUGAAGUCCAAUUACUCCUGUUGAGCAUAGUAUCGUGUUAUUAUUUUAGUGUUGAAAGUAAUAUUUAUGAAGCUUUUGCAUGAGUCUGUGUCAAGAAGUACAUUAGUUUUUUCUUGUUGUUAUCCCUCCAUUGCUUUAUGAGUAUUGCAAAUUUUAUCUCUUUUGAGAGGGGGAAAAGAUGUUAUAUGACAUGAGCACCAUUUGCUUCACGUCAACAGAAUAGUUUUGGAGAUUUCUAGUAGUUGGAUUCUAGUGUAAUAACAACCAUGUUUUAUAGAGCUGGAGACGGGUAUGUCAGGUGUUUCAUACAUUGUCGGUACAUGGAUGUUUGACCUUAGUGGCAUUAACAAACGAGGUUGUUGAAUUCAUUGAUUGUUGUGCUUAGUGUUCUAACCUAUUUGGUAGAGUGUUAUUUAAAGACUUUGUGGAGUUGCAUCCCAGUUUGGUAGUGGAAAAUCCUAGUGUUGAUGGCACCUGCCAAUGACUUGGGUUUCAUUUUAUAUUGUUUUUUUAUUGUUGAUAAUGUGUUGUCUGGUUUUGGGAGGCAUUUUAAAUUAGUUGGAGGCUGAAUCAGGCUUCACUUAUCUAGAAUGUUUUGUAGUAUGUUUCUGCAUCUUUCCAUAGGAUGCUUAAUCACCAUGUUUGGUCUAAACAUUUGAGAGAUAUGGGUUUCUUAAAACAUCUUUGUUGGUGUCUCUAGCAGAGUGAGUCUUUAAUUUUGUACGGAAGAGUAGACAUUGAAGACGGUAUAAUUUGGUCUUUGUGGAUUAUGAAAGUUUUAGUAAUUUCAUGAUCUUUUCAAAGAGUAUGGGUUUCUAAUUCUCAUUGCAUAUAAUUGGAGUUAGGUUGCUCUGAAGUUGUUGCACUGUUGUGUCUAAACUUUAGGCGUAGUUAUAAUCACCAAUAAAUCGACCGCGUUUUGAUAGUUGCAGAGCACAAAUUUGCGAAUUCUCUUUAAGCAAAACUUGUAGGUAUUUUCAGUACCUUUUUAAUGGGUAUUUACUUGUAACUGUCUGUUAAAUAGAUUUGGAGAGGUGGUUGCCCGGAUAUAAGUCGAAUCUCUAAUGUGCAGUAUCUCAGGCUGAGUUUAGCUGUAGGUCAUGCAGAGUUGUGGGCUAUAAGGAUAAAUUUGGGUGCAACUUUAUUGCAAAAGUCGUGGACAAUUUUCAAAACUUUUCCAACGCGUGUUCGUUGUAGUUUAAGUUGAGUAUAGCAGGAGUUAUAGGUUUUUGAAUUUUAGUUGUCCAUUGUUUCAAUCUUAUCAGUUUUGAAACAAAAUAGUUGCAUUGUUUUAUCGGUUUGGAAACCAAUUCCGACACACUCAUUAUAAUAAAAGUUCUAGGGAAUGUUAUAAUCUUUUCAGUGAGUUUAUAUUUGCAAAAUUUUGUUAGCUGCAGGGAGUUAUGAUAUCAUGUAUAGAAUGUGCUUGGAUGAAUAUGUGGGCAGACAUAACAUGCUUAAAUUGAUUCUUGUUUGCAUGAUGUGAGAUUAGGCUUAAAUGAUUUAAAAAGUUAUCAUAUUGCUUCUAUACUUAUAUUUGUUCUAGGUGUCUCGUAAUGAAGAACCUAAAGUUAUUAGUCUUUCAAUGAACGCUUAAUCUUAGAAGAGUAAUGAACCUGAUAAAAUCUAUUGCUUGCUAUUGGGACUGCAUGACCAGUUUUAGUUAUGCAGCUAGUUCAGUGAAGUAAACCAUCUUUUCUGUAGAGAUGUUAUAUAUAAUAGUUGUAGCCAACUUAUUUAUCUUACUUGUGUAAAAAUUUCAUGACCAUAGGUCUAGUAGUUUGGGAGUUAUGAUUUUCUCAAGUCCAGUCUUGAAAUCUGUGCAGAUUCUAUACAGAUUUCGAAGCUGACCUUGUUGCCCAAUUUAAACUUCGAAUAACUUAUUAUAAAUUAUAAAUAAGUUGUAGUGCUUUUCUUAAUCGUUACAACAAAUUUUGGAUUAAAUUUUUUUUUGGAGAUCUAUAAGUUAAGUUACAGCUAUUUUAAGUGUGAUCUCUGAAUCUGUCCAAAUUUGGAUAGCAGAGCCUUUCUCCUGUCUUUUGACCUUAAUAUGCAUUGAAUUAACUUGAUAUGUUUAUAAAUGAAUUAUAGACAAUUCUACUAGCUUUCUAAAAAGUCUGGGAGCACCUGAAUUGGAUGAUUGAGACUCCAAUUAUGGAUUUUUGAAUCGAGUAGUUGAAUUAUGUCCAAGUCUGGAUAGAAUUUACGUUUAGCACUGUUUGACCAUUCUAAGUGUCAAAUCUUGUUGUGAUGAUAAUACCAAGGGUAUAGUGGACUUUAUAAGUUUUCCAUAAAGUCCUAGUUUACUAACUUUCGAUGCAUAUUUUUGUGAGUUAGGAGCAAAACAAUUAACCGCUGUGCUGCUAUCUAGAAAUAUGCAAGCAUUAAGUUGCUCUCUUGAAGUUGCUCUUGUGUGGCUAAGUUUGGUUUAGCCUAUAGGAACAUUUUAUGCCUUGCAUUCAUAUAUACAUUCCUUGAAGUACUUGCAUAUGUCAAUGAUUGAUUUGGUGUCAGGAAAGCUUGGUCCGAGGUAUAUAGGACCGUCUGCUAUCUUGGCCUAGUUGGCAGCUGGGCUUAGCACAUGUAAUUGUCAGAAUCUGUGAUCAGAGUACACAAGUAUUCCAUGUCUUUUUGUUGAGGAAGUAUUUGCGGAAUCCAGACCAUCAAAUCGAGCUAGAGCCGAUUCCUGUGUAGCAAGAGCAGACUCUAGAGUGUCGUCUGCUGCGUAUCUUAGAAUCCUAGGAGCUUGAGGAGCUGAUGCGGCAGAAGUACUCGAACUUUUCUUUAUGUGUGAGUUUUGUUGAUUCAAUAACCUUUCUUUUGUUGUUCCGAUAGAAGCGUCAGAAUUCGAGGUCGAAUUCUUUUUAAGAGGGGUAGAGUGUGAUAUCCGGUUUGCAAAGAAGAGAAGUUGGGGGUUGUUCUUUUUGUUUUUUCCUCAUCCGGUUGUUGUUUUGGGGAUUUGGGAUUUUGUGGAAAACAUUCACAACUAGGGCAGUAGAAUUUAUUUGGUUUGACGCUUGCGUUGCGGUCGGGAGCUGUCGCGUGGGUUAGUUGGGCUGCAAUUGGAGUUUCGGCCCAUUAACCCUCCCAAACCCUAGCCGCCUCCCUCCUAACCCCCCUCCCCCCAUGUGCAGCCGCCCCCCCCCACUUCUCUUCCCUCUUGGCCGCCGCCACCCUGCCCAUCUCCUCCUCUCUCAAUUCUUGCAGCCACCAAACCCUAGCCCCCCUCUCAAUCCCCUCCUCCCAAGGUGCCAAUCCUUGCCGCUCGGAUCAUCGUCGCCGUGGUGCGAGUCUUCAAUCGUUUUGGUGGAGGGAAGAAGGGAGGAAAGAAAGGGGGAGAAUCUAAGGUGAUUUUUGUGUUCAUCCCUUGUUCAUUUGCGCUGCAAUUUAAUUGAUUAGAGGUUGCGUUUGUGAUUGGGUAGAGGGGGGCUGUCCAGAAUUUUAGGUGGUGGGUGAACAGCAGUAGUCUAGCAGUUUCUGUGUUUUUUUCAUGAGGAAUUAAGGGAAAUCAGUUUGGGGAUCAUGUAGAACUUUACCUUACCUUUCCAACGAGUAUUUAUGCCCUCAAUUUGGAGUUAUAAAUUGAAAGUUAUCACCGUUUGAAUCCGGGUAUGUGGCUGUCCAAAAAAACAGAUUUUUUAGGGGAUGAACAACAGCAGUAUUAGCAGUUUCUGGGGAUUUUUCGGGAGUAAUUAGUGUUAAUCAGUAUGAGAAUCAUGUAGGGCUUUAUGUUAUCUUUCCAACAAGUACUUACGCGCUCGAUUCGGAGUUAUAAUUCAGGAGAUAUCGUUGUUUGAAUCCGGUUAUGUUGCUGUCCAAAAAAACAGAUUUUUCAGGUGGGUGAACAGCAGUGGUAUUAGCAGUUUCUGGGAAUUUUUCGUGGGUAAUUAGUGUUAACCAGUAUGGUAAUCAUGUAGGGAUUUGUCUUAUCUUUCCAAUGAGUACUUAUGCGCUUGAUUUGGAAUUAUAUUUCAAAAGAUAUCGCUGUUUGAAUCUGAGUAUGUCGCUGUCCAAAAGACAAAGAAAAACAGAUUACAGGGUUCAUCUUGUGGACUGUUUUGGGCUAAUUAGAUAUUGGAAUUUAAUUAUAAAUUGUAUACAAAACUUGUGGGAAAUUUUAUGUAGAUGCCUCUGGAGUUUUUGUUUGUUACCACUGCUGUCAUAAUUUUAAAGUUAUGAAAUUAUUAAGCAGCGCCGCUGCAGUUUGGUGGGUGUAGGGAGAGAUGUAACCCGCGGCGGGGUUUGAGUUUGUGCGUAGGUGCGGCGUCGCUUAUGAGCCUGAUUAUGUGAAAUUGGUGUACUAAGUUGGGUGUCAAAAACAGGUGGUGGACUUCCGGAUCGUACUUAGGGAUUUGCCCGAACUUCCGGUAAAGGCAAGUAAAUACAGUGGUGGUUGCUACCGUUUGGUUUGCAUCCUAUUCCCUGUCAUUGAGUAUGCAUAAGUUUUAAUUAUGUUAAUCAUUGAAUUCUAUGAUGAAGUUUAUUUGUUUGGAAGUAUUAAUUCUCAAUUGUCUAAUAUUGUGGAUGAUCAUAAUUUGGUAAUGAUAUAUGUGGUUGAUUCCCAUCGGGAUGAAGUUGAAGUGUCUUUUUGAAUCAUGUUAUAUGAAGUGUUGUAGGCAUGACAUGCACAUCGCAUCAUCCAUCUUGCAUUUUGAAGUUAUGUCGUGAUCUUAUGGUCCGACCAUACCGGUACAUUUUUAGCAUCGUACGUUGCCCGAGGAGGGGUACGAUGCGGCUUCAUAUCCUUAGAGUUAUGAAGGCAGAAGUCAUCCUUGCAUUUGCAGACAUUUGCACUCAUGAGGAAUAUAUGAAGUGUGACAUUACUAUGUUACUAUUGUGGUUUCUACCUGCGAGGUGUGGUAACUAGGUGCGUUGUACGUUGUAUACGUGCUGCACCUUCGUAAUAAGAAGGUUGUGGAAUUAAGUGGUGGUAAAACAAUGUUCUUAUGUGGUUAAAUUGUUUGAUAUUAUUUUACUUGCUGAGAUGUGUCAUCUCACUCUUGCAUUACUCAAUGCAGGUACUUGAUACAUGUUGGGAAUGAGGGGAGUAGCAGCACGUCCACUUUCACUCUCACAAUAACGCUGCCCAGGCACAACCAUGAUUUAAUUAGAAACCUAUUGUCAAAGGAAGUUUGUUUAUUUUUUUAUAUGGUCGUGCGCACUGGUUAAUUC